UACGUAGGGAGCAAGCGUUGUCCGGAAUCAUUGGGCGUAAAGCGCGCGUAGGUGGCUUCGUAAGUCCGCUGUGAAAGUCAAAGGCUCAACCUUUGAAUGUCAGCGGAUACUGCCAGGCUAGAGUCCGGAAGAGGCGAGUGGAACUCCUGGUGUAGCGGUGGAAUGCGCAGAUAUCAGGAGGAACACCGGUGGCGAAGGCGGGUCUCUGGGCCGAUACUGACGCUGAGGAGCGAAAGCGUGGGGAGCGAACAGG
rnacentral:rRNA from 1 species